rnacentral:misc_RNA from 1 species
AAGACUAUAGACCUGCGGAGUACCUGCGGAAGGAUCAUUAACGUUGGGGACUAACAAUCCCUCAGCGAGAUAGAACCCUUGCCUUUUCGAGUACCACACGUUUCCUCGGCAGGUACGCCUGCCAAUGGGGACCACAACAAAACCUUUUGUAAUAGCAGUAAACGUCUUAAAAACAAAACUUUUAAAACUUUUAACAACGGAUCUCU